AUACAACAACUCAAAGAGGUAGGCACCCAUUUUAAUCAUUAAUGGUCUCCCCAUUGACACCCCAGGCUCAAAUCAAAUCUGCCUUGCCCUGCCCCAGCUCCAAAAGCUUCAGCUUCAAGCAUCAGCAACCUCCUCCACCCCCUCCAUCUUCACCUCCUCCAGCCCUCCUCACUACUUGGAGUAGUAGCAAGCUGCAACACAACACGGCAGAGCGGAGUGGAGUGGAGUAGGGAGCUGGGCAAGGGAGCCCCAGCAACCAUCCCCGCCGCGGCCAUGCGUCUCUCGGUGGUGCUCCUCGUCGUGGCCCUGCUCUGCCUCGGCGGCGGCGGCCUCGUGGCGGCGUCCACGGACUUCAACUUCCCGGCGGUGUUCAACUUCGGGGACUCCAACUCCGACACCGGCGGCCGCGUGGCGGCGGGGUUCGAGUCCAUCCUCCCGCCCUACGGCUCCACCUUCUUCGGCGGCCCCGCCGGCCGCUUCUGCGACGGCCGCCUCAUCCUCGACUUCCUCAUGGAGGCAAUGGAUAUACCCUUCCUCAAUACAUAUUUGGAUUCUCUUGGUACACCAAACUUUCGGACUGGUGUUAAUUUUGCUCAAGCUGGGUGUUCAGUCACACCAGCAAAUCCAACAUCUGUCAGCCCGUUUUCAUUUGGUCUUCAGAUUAAGCAAUUCUUUGCCUUCAAGAACAAAGUUACUAAGCUCCUGUCUAAAGGAGAUAUGUACAGGCGGUACAUUCCUCAGGAAGAUUACUUUUCAGAGGGACUCUACAUGUUUGAUAUUGGGCAAAAUGAUCUUGCUGGUCAAUUCUAUUCAAAAACAGAGGACCAAGUCAUUGCAUCCAUUCCAACAAUUUUGUUGGAAUUUGAAACUGGACUCAAGGAACUAUAUGCCCAAGGUGCUAGGAAGUUCUGGAUUCACAACACAGGCCCUCUUGGCUGCUUACCUCAAAACAUAGCCUUGUUUGGCAAAGACCCGACCCUGUUAGAUGAGCUUCACUGUGUAGCAAGGCACAACCGUGCUGCAAAACUUUUCAACUUACAGCUGCAUGCACUUUGCACAAAGUUGAGAGGUGAAUUCUCUGGAGCCAGCAUCACUUAUGUGGACAUCCACACCAUCAAAUACAGCCUGAUCGCCAACUACUCUCGAUAUGCACUAUGAAAAGAUCUCUCAAGUGUUAUGCAUGGUUGAAAGAGAAGUCUUGUGAUGAAGUGGCACUAUCAAUCCUGAACAAGUGCUCGCAAUAAUAAACCCCACUACAACAGGGUUCGAGCAUGCCACCCAAGCAUGCUGUGGAUAUGGAGGUCCACCCUUGAACUAUGAUGGUAAGGUGCCAUGUGGACAGACAGUGUCUUUGAAUGGUAAAUCGGUUACCGCAAAAGGGUGCAGCGACACUACUGAAUUCGUCAAUUGGGAUGGGAUACAUUACACGGAAGCUGCAAAUUUCCACAUUGCAUCUCAGAUACUGACCGGGAAAUACUCUGAUCCUCCAUUCGUCGACAAGAUGCCAUUCGUCAUAAAACCUAGAUUCUAAGUAGUUCCAUACACUUGUUUUCUCUUUGAUCAACCACUUUAACAGCAUUGGUUGUGGAUACGAUGUAUUUAUUACUUGUUAACAAUCAUAUGUAGCUCGAUCUCAAAAGGAAAAAAAUCACAUAUAUAGUUUGGUUUCA